rnacentral:tRNA from 1 species
GGGCCCUUAGCUCAAUCGGUGAGAGCAGCCGGCUCAUAACCGGUUGGUUGCAGGUUCGAGCCCUGCAGGGCCCA